AUACCCGCAUAAUCAAAUAUCAUACACUGAAUCGUCAAUAUCAUUCAUUUAUGAUUACCAUAAUAGUGACUAUACAAGUUAUCGUCUUUAAAUCAUCUAAUUUUUUAAGAAAUUUUCAUUCUUGAUGCGCCUCCGCUUGUAAUGAUAACUAAUUAUUGCUGGAAGAUACAGUUUGUGAUCCGUGAAAUCUGAUUCGUGUCUUAACUAUAUUUGCAUCAUUCGCAAAGAAAAUAGAAAAUGGCGUUUUUGAGCUAGCUCUCCGACAUCCGAUUGGAAGAAAAAUCGUUUCCUCGUGAAAUAUUUAACACUCAAGUAAAAUCGAACUGUCUAAAGGAAGCAGUAUUGGAAACCGCAAAUAUUCGUACUGGUGAUACUUUGCCGUUCACAAUCUUCCGGCUGGAGGUGAACUGGAAAGGCCGGGAAUUUGUUUGGUGUGAAUGUGUACAAUAUUAAGCGUACCAGUGCCGUUAUCCCCCAGCGGAGGUGGAAAAUAUCUCCGAGGGAAGAUUAACAUCCAACAUCAGUAUAAAAAGGUACAAAACUUUAAGAUGAAAGAACCUUCCGAAGAAAAGGAACUGUCUAGAAGUGUCUGGAUGUCUUCCCUGUACUUCAAUUUAUGGAUGGCAUUAUUAGACCUAGUAUUGAAGACUACCGCAGGUGAUUCAAAAUUAAUAGGAAGAAAAAAUCCCAAUGAACCCCUUCACCGUGCACAUGUCCAAAGGAGUCACAGGGUCCAGUUACGGUGGCAACGCACAGGAUCCAGUUCCGGUGGUUUGUUCCAGUGUCACGCGAAAGAUUGUUCCGGAUUUUCCCUAUGUAUUGAUGUGUAAUGUAAAUAGAAAUAUGUAUUCUUUACAUAUUUAUUGUUUUUUUUUCAUGCUAGGUUAACAUUCAAUCAGCAUCAUCCGGUUCUCGGCACUGGCUUGUUUCGAAGGCCAAAAAUAAUUACCUGCAGCUGGAGAGCAACAUAGUCGAUGGAAUGGCACAGGAAUCCAAAGACAGGUUUGAUUUUGUUCGGUGGGAACAGUAACUGGAUUCUGAAGCUGUACAAAUCGAAUACCACCAAGCUACCCUGUCCCUGCAAGCUUUGCCUUUGGCUCACCAUUCAUCCCAUGUACGUUGGAUAUACAGAAUACAUACACAGAUGGAUUUCGAAGGAGCAUCUUUUACAGCAAGCUCUUCAGUAGAAAUCUAGGACUUUCUUCGUAUUAAUGUAGGCCACACUAUUAAAUUUUAUGUAUGAAUUCGAGAAACAGGGUCGAUUUAUAUCAGGUGUGAUUUUUUUUAUUUUCAUAUUAGUAUUGAAAACAUAAGUAAUUUUCUAUUACCUUUCCAAGAAUCCUCAUUAUCAAUUUAAAUAGAACAGCAUAGAGCUAAUAUUUGUUAAAUGGCCUAAUAACAAUGAUGAUGAGAGCGACAGCGAUUUUCAUAUGUUUUCAUGACACAUACAGGCAAGGUGACGAAUGAUUUUAUGAUGGCUGGAUUUGGAUUUGGAUUUCAAUACUCAAAAAGUUCCCGUUUUGAUAUACUGGCGUGUCUUCGAACAACAAGAGUGCGAACCAAUUUGAACAGCCAUUGAUGCUCAAAAGUGUCCAGUAACCCAAGUACAUUAAAACUAUUCUAAUAGAAAGACGAUUGCAACUCUAUUGGUUCGUUAGCCUACCCAUAGAAAAUGGACUCUUAUUGAGAUUCUUUCGUGGCAAGAAAAACAAUGAAUUUUUGUAAUUAACAACGUAAUGUCUUUUUAAUAUUUAUCAUUGUAGGUAAUGUUGCUGAAAAAAUAUCAGUGAUCUUUUAUAGAAAAAACAAAAUUUAAUUCAGUGUCGAGAUCAAUGUAUAUAUAAGAAUGUAUCAGUUGAAAAUGUUACUAUUGAAAUAAAAUUGAUAAAAACUAACAAAUUUUUAGUUUAAGAUGUGUUUAAUUUAUGAUUAAUUAUCAAUCAUAACCCGAAUCGUCCAACCUAGGUGGUUGUGUAUCUUUUUAUUAUUAUUCAGCGAUACGUUCGAUCAUCAACAUUUUCUAAAUGGAUCAUUAGGAAAAGAUUACACGUAUCAUAUAUCCCGGGUUGCGUCCGAUUUGAAAAAAGAAAAAAGCAAAAAAAAUGAAUGGUUACUCUACUUAACGACCCGUUCGCUGUAUCGUAAAGUGCGUCCAAACGAUUCCAUUCCAUGGAAAAAAGACUAGCUUAAUCGUACAUUAAUAAUCCCAAACUAUAUAGCUUAUCUUUCGUGUGUCUUGGGAAGAAGAUAAUGGAAAUCGUUAUUGUAUAAUACUGAUUUA